rnacentral:sRNA from 1 species
GUUUUAGGAAGAGUGUCCUGCAGAGACCCAGCGGGAGCUGCCGGGAGCUCUGAGACUCCAGCGGCUGGAAGGUUGCCCAGGGCUCACCUCUGAUGGGCGGGCAGGUGAGCGCUUCCAACAGCUUCUCGAGGCUGCGCUGCAGAAAUGCCAACGAGGACUGGAUGUCGGCACUGUGUCCUCGGCUCUGGGAUGUGCCCCUCCACCACCUCUCCAUCCCAGGGAGCCACGACACGAUGACCUACUGCCUGAACAAGAAGUCCCCCAUUUCGCACGAGGAGUCCCGGCUGCUGCAGCUGCUGAACAAGGCCUUCCCCUGCAUCACGCGCCCCGUCGUGCUGAAAUGGUCCGUCACCCAGGCGCUGGACGUCACGGAGCAGCUGGACGCCGGGGUGCGGUACCUGGACCUGCGGAUCGCUCACAUGCUGGAGGGCUCGGAGAAGAACCUGCACUUUGUCCAUAUGGUGUACACAACGGCGCUGGUGGAGGUGCGGCCGGGCUGAGGACACGCUCACGGAAAUCUCAGAGUGGCUGGAGCAGCAC